rnacentral:rRNA from 1 species
GCCAAACCAGUAUUAGAAGUAACGCCUGCCCUGUGGAACCCUAAACGGCCGCGGCACAAAACCGUGCAAAGGUAGCACAAUCACUUGUCCCCUAAAUGAGGACCCGUAUGAAAGGCAACAUGAGAGAAAACCUGUCUCCUAAGGUCCGCCAAUGAAAUUGAUCUAUCAGUACAAAAGCUGAUAUAACUAAGCAAGACAAAAAGACCCUAUGGAACUUUAACAAAUUGCUUAUACACAAUAAACAAUAGUUUCAGUUGGGAUAACUUUAGAAAAAAUAAACCUCUAAUAACAUCUAGACCAACUAGUCCAGACUACCACAUAUGACCCAGUAAUACUGAAUAACGAAACAAGCUACCCUAGGGAUAACAGCGCCACCUUCUCAAAGAGUCCAUAUCAACAAGAAGAUCUACGACCUCGAUGUUGGAUCAGGGUACCCAGACGGUGCAGCAGCUGUCAAAGGUUCGUUUGUUCAACGACUAACACCCUACGUGAUCUGAGUUCAGACCGGAGCAAUCCAGGUCGGUUUCUAU